AUUUGAUAACCAUCGGAAUGGAAAAUUUGCAGGUAAGAGAGCAAGUGAAGCGAAAGCAACCUGGGUUGCUGUUUGGGUGAUUACGAUAAUCUUGGCCGCUGUUGCGGCAGGAGCAUAUGUUGUGUACAAGUAUAGAUUAAGGUCAUACAUGGACUCCGAGAUUAGGGCUAUUAUGGCUCAGUACAUGCCACUCGACAACCAAGGAGAGGUCGUGAGUCAUUUGCAUCAAGAAGAACACGCAUGAAGCACAAGUUUUGAUUCGCAUGUAGGAUCGUCCGAAAGUUGUAAGAGGCCAACCUCUGGUCCGACUGUUUCACGGUCUAUUCCACCAAUAUUAAAAGGUAAAUAGGCUGAUUUUAAUGAACAAAAAAUAGUAUCUGUUUGACGGAUCGGAGCGAGGGCUGUGUGAAAUUAAACGAUAUUUAUUCUUAGAACUACAUCUUUCUGUAGCUGUACAUGUAUAGAUUUUUUGCCCUGAAUCAUAAUUUGCAGUUCAAUUACUGUUUACAAUGGAACUUUGUUCGCAUCA